GAUGAACGCUGGCGGCGUGCCUAAUACAUGCAAGUCGAGCGAACAGAUGAGGAGCUUGCUCCUCUUACGUUAGCGGCGGACGGGUGAGUAACACGUGGAUAACCUACCUAUAAAACUGGGAUAACUUCGGGAAACCGGAGCUAAUACCGGAUAAUAUAUUGAACCGCAUGGUUCAAUAGUUAAAGACGGUUUUGCUGUCACUUAUAGAUGGAUCCGCGCCGCAUUAGCUAGUUGGUAAGGUAACGGCUUACCAAGGCAACGAUGCGUAGCUGACCUGAGAGGGUGUACGGCCAAACAGUAACUGAGACACGGUUCUAACUCCUACGGGAGGCAACAGUAGGGAAUCUUCCGCAGUGGGCGAAAUCCUGACGGAGCAACGCCGCGUGAGUGAUGAUGGUCUUCGGAUCGUAAAACGCUGUUAUUAGGGAAGAACAAAUGUGUAAGUAACUAUGCACGUCUUGACGGUACCUAAUCAGAAAGCCACGGCUAACUACGUG
rnacentral:rRNA from 1 species